AUCACAAAUUCACAAGUAGCACAACCAAACAAUGUAAAUAUUACCUAAAAAAUUGACACUAAAUCUUAGGAUUUUGAAAAAAAAAACUUACAACCACUAGUGAGUGGUGACGUGACUGGGCGACAUGGGCGUCGGGGUCAGCAACUUGCCCUGCCGUGACUGACGUGAUCGCGUGAGGCGUCCUGCGACUGUACUGGUAAUGUGACUCGUCGACUUGUCGUUCACUCGUUCCUCAAAUCUCCUUCAUUUGUUUGGAUGGGUAAUAUCGCUACUAGAAUCCGGCUUUUUACCGACCACUUUUACCGACCGUCCAAUGAUACGGUUGGUAAUUAUUAAAAAACCGACCGUUUCCAAAGUGGACGUUGAAUACCAACGGUUUUUAUUAAUCACCGACCGCUAUAUUUAUCUGUAGGUAAUUACCUACCGUUUUAAUUAAACACCGACUGCGUUUUUUGCCGUAGGUAGUUUCCGACCGAUUUUCGGAUAUCACCAACCGCGCGACCGUCGGUAAAUUACUACUAGUAAUUUCGGAAAUAUUAACACCCACGUUUCCCGGCCUUUUCACUCUAUAGCAAUCAGUAAAUUAAAAAAUAACCCUAACAUUCCCUUGGAGAAACCGACGUCUCCUUCUCCCUUCACCAUCAUCGUUGCCGGUAUUCCUUCAUCUCCACAGUGUUGUUGUCGCCGGUUUCAGUUCUCUUGUGCACCUGCCGCAUCACCCUCGCAAUGGGUCAACUGCACAACCACCGCGCGCGCGCACCGUCGUUUCUUGGUUUGUUUCGCCAAUCCACAAUAGGUUUUCUCUUCUUCCCUAUUAUUUGGUCUAUUUUGAAUUUCAUGAAUUUCUUGGUAUAUUCACUCAACUUUUCGGUUAAUUGGUCAUAAAAAAUAACAUGAAUGGUAUAAAUAUAUAAAUAAUGAUCAUUCAAGAGCUUGAGAAAUUGGAAAAAUGAUAUAUACCUGAUUGAAGAAGAUCAAGAAGGUAUCAGUAAUAAAAAGCUUUCAUUCUGGUUGAGUAAAAAGUCAGACAAACGAAACUAGAACUGAAUUGCGUGUGUUGAAUUGGUGAAUGAAACUAGAACUGAAGAAAACUACUUUUGAAGGAUGAGUUUGUUUACUUAGCUGAGGCCUUUCAUGGUCUGUUAUGUUCUGUUAUCAUUAUGUGAUUUUGUCAUCUUAGAUGAGUGAAUAUGAUUUCAUCUUGCGUCUCGUGUAUAUGAUUGGCCACCAUUCUAGUUUCUUUGCAAUUUCAUGGAUUUCAUCUUAGUUGAGUGAAUUAUGUUUAAUCUCAUGGUUUUGUUAUGUUCUUUUGUCAUGAAUAUAUGAUUUGAUCAUCUUAUUUGAGUGAAUAUGGGCACUAUGUGUAAUUACAUAAAGUUUAAGAUCACUUGAUAUAAAACUUUUUUUGCCCUGCCAGAGAAUAGAAAAAUGCAAACUAAAAAGCUACCAUGUAGAAUUUUCCUUAAAUAAAGGUAAGAAUGGUCACUGGUGAAAUAUUCCUUUCAGACAUAAGAUAAAGUAUGGCAUAUAACAAAAUCAAAGCAAACUACAUAACACAGGUUUGCUAUUAGUGACAACUUAAAUACAAAUUCUUAUAUGUUACGCUUUACACCAUUGUUUGAUGUGUAACUCUGAGAUGGAAUAAUAUUUAUGCUUUAAUAACCUCGCAUAUAACCAUUUGUAUGUUUAUAACAGUAGGUUCUUGUCAAUACUUGAAUGAGAUUACUAAUGAAAAGCUAUAGAGGGAUUACUUAACAGUACAUAUCUUAAUGACAUUACUAAUGGAGUUACAUGCAUCAACAUUUGUGAUGCGCCAGACUUAUUAAAUGUGUAAGCACAAAUCCAAAUGACACAAUGUUCAACUAUAUGGUAGAGGCAGCUAGAAUUACUUUAGUUACCAAUUGCAUGGUUCUUAAAGUUUAAUGUAGUGAACGACGAUGUUGAUGUUAGAGUUUGUUAGUAAUAUUGUUUUAAUUGAGAUGUGUAGAAUUGAGUAUCAUGAAGCGAAGAGAGCGUAGUUAGAUGUAUGAUAGGCAUGAGGGACGCUUUCUCAAGACUGAGUUUAUGAAUGGAAGGUGUUGUGGAACCUGGACAUUGUCAAGGUUCAAUUUCUACGGCCGAGUAUGCAAGAAGGAUGGCUGCAAAGAAUGGAGGAGUCUUGCCAAAAGCUGUUGAUAUUUACUGGGAGACACAUUCAAAGGAACGACAAUCAGGCCAAGACGAGCAACUCAUUGGAUCCAAAUGAUGACCCACGUGACCCACGCGAUCCUCUUGGUGGUGGAUUGGGAUUUCCUUGUAGUACUUAGACUUAUAGCCUUUUAUUAGUAUAUAAUAUAUAUAUUUUGAGAAAAAUGAUGUUUAAUUUAGGUUGUUGGAACUACUAUUAGAUCUAAGAUCUAUAUUGUGGAGAAUAUGAUGUUUAAUAUAAGUUGUACCAAACCUAUUAUUUUGAUAUGGAAUGAAGAAUUAGUUUAUUAUAA